rnacentral:rRNA from 1 species
UAUUUUCCUUUUUUUCCCUCCGCCGCGGUAAUACGGAGGAUGCGAGCGUUAUCCGGAUUUAUUGGGUUUAAAGGGUGCGUAGGCGGUUUAUUAAGUUAGUGGUUAAAUAUUUGAGCUAAACUCAAUUGUGCCAUUAAUACUGGUAAACUGGAGUACAGACGAGGUAGGCGGAAUAAGUUAAGUAGCGGUGAAAUGCAUAGAUAUAACUUAGAACUCCGAUAGCGAAGGCAGCUUACCAGACUGUAACUGACGCUGAUGCACGAGAGCGUGGGUAGCGAACAGG